rnacentral:rRNA from 1 species
GAUGAACGCUGGCGGCGUGCCUAAUACAUGCAAGUCGAGCGAACAGACGAGGAGCUUGCUCCUCUGACGUUAGCGGCGGACGGGUGAGUAACACGUGGAUAACCUACCUAUAAGACUGGGAUAACUUCGGGAAACCGGAGCUAAUACCGGAUAAUAUAUUGAACCGCAUGGUUCAAUAGUGAAAGACGGUUUUGCUGUCACUUAUAGAUGGAUCCGCGCCGCAUUAGCUAGUUGGUAAGGUAACGGCUUACCAAGGCGACGAUGCGUAGCCGACCUGAGAGGGUGAUCGGCCACACGGGAAAUGCGACACGGUCCAGACUCCUACGGGAGGCAGCAGUAGGGAAUCGUCCGCAAUGGGCGAAAGCCUGACGGAGCAAAGCCGCGUGAGUGAUGAAGGUCUUCGGAUCGUAAAACUCUGUUAUUAGGGAAGAACAAAUGUGUAAGUAACUAUGCACGUCUUGACGGUACCUAAUCAGAAAGCCACGGCUAACUACGUG